CCUACGGGUGGCAGCAGUGGGGGAUAUUGCACAAUGGGGGAAACCCUGAUGCAGCGACGCCGCGUGUGGGAAGACGGUCCUCUGGAUGUUAAACCACUGUCUCCAGGGACGAAGUUGCCGGUACCUGGGGAUGAAGCUCCGGUAAACUACGUGCCAGCAGCCGCGGUAAUACGUAGGGAGCGGGCGUUGUCCGGAAUUACUGGGUGUAAAGGGAGCGUAGGCGGGGAUGCAGGUUGAUGUGAAAACCUACCGGUUCAACAGGGAGUUGCACUUAAAACUGUAGUUCUUGAGUAAAGUAGAGGCAGGCGGAAUUCUUAGUGUAGCGGUGAAAUGCGUAGAUAUUAGGAGGAACACCAGUGGCGAAGGCGGCCUGCUGGGCUUUUACUGACGCUGAGGCUCGAAAGUGUGGGGAGCAAACAGGAUUAGAUACCCGGGUAGUC
rnacentral:rRNA from 1 species